rnacentral:rRNA from 1 species
UGCAGUCGAACGAUGAACCUCGCUUGCGGGUGGAUUAGUGGCGAACGGGUGAGUAACACGUGAGUAACCUGCCCUUGACUCUGGGAUAAGCCUGGGAAACUGGGUCUAAUACCGGAUAUGACCUUCCAUCGCAUGGUGGUUGGUGGAAAGCUUUUGUGGUUUUGGAUGGACUCGCGGCCUAUCAGCUUGUUGGUGGGGUAAUGGCCUACCAAGGCGACGACGGGUAGCCGGCCUGAGAGGGUGACCGGCCACACUGGGACUGAGACACGGCCCAGACUCCUACGGGAGGCAGCAGUGGGGAAUAUUGCACAAUGGGCGGAAGCCUGAUGCAGCGACGCCGCGUGAGGGAUGACGGCCUUCGGGUUGUAAACCUCUUUCAGUAGGGAAGAAGCCGCAAGGUGACGGUACCUGCAGAAGAAGCGCCGGCUAACUACGUGCCAGCAGCCGCGGUAAUACGUAGGGCGCAAGCGUUAUCCGGAAUUAUUGGGCGUAAAGAGCUCGUAGGCGGUUUGUCGCGUCUGCCGUGAAAGUCCGGGGCUCAACUCCGGAUCUGCGGUGGGUACGGGCAGACUAGAGUGAUGUAGGGGAGACUGGAAUUCCUGGUGUAGCGGUGAAAUGCGCAGAUAUCAGGAAGAACACCGAUGGGCGAAGCAGGUCUCU